rnacentral:rRNA from 1 species
UAGUCCACGCCGUAAACGAUGAUUACUCGCUGUAGGCGAUACACAGUCUGUGGCUAAGCGAAAGUUUUAAGUAAUCCACCUGGGGAGUACGAUCGCAAGAUUGAAACUCAAAGGAAUUGACGGGGGCCCGCACAAGCGGAGGAACAUGUGGUUUAAUUCGAUGAUACGCGAGGAACCUUACCUGGACUUAAGUGUGCGUUGCAUAGAUCAGAGAUGGUCUUUUCUUCGGACUACGUACAAGGUGCUGCAUGGUUGUCGUCAGCUCGUGCCGUGAGGUGUCGGGUUAAGUCCCAUAACGAGCGCAACCCUUAUCACUAGUUGCCAGCAUUACCUUCGGGUAGAUGGGGACUCUAGUGAGACUGCCGGCGUAAGCCGCGAGGAAGGUGGGGACGACGUCAAAUCAUCAUGGCCUUUAUGUCUAGGGCGACACACGUGCUACAAUGGUAGGGACAGAGGGUAGCUAAGCAGCGAUGUGGUGCUAAUCUCAAAAAACCCCUAUCCCAGUUCGG